GAUGAGCGCUGGCGGCGUGCCUAAUACAUGCAAGUCGAGCGAACAGACGAGGAGCUUGCUCCUCUGACGUUAGCAGCGGACGGGUGAGUAACACGUGGAUAACCUACCUAUAAGACUGGGAUAACUUCGGGAAACCGGAGCUAAUACCGGAUAAUAUAUUGAACCGCAUGGUUCAAUAGUGAAAGACGGUUUUGCUGUCACUUAUAGAUGGAUCCGCGCCGCAUUAGCUAGUUGGUAAGGUAACGGCUUACCAAGGCAACGAUGCGUAGCCGACCUGAGAGGGUGAUCGGCCACACUGGAACUGAGACACGGUCCAGACUCCUACGGGAGGCAGCAGUAGGGAAUCUUCCGCAAUGGGCGAAAGCUUGACGGAGCAACGCCGCGUGAGUGAUGAAGGUCUUCGGAUCGUAAAACUCUGUUAUUAGGGAAGAACAAAUGUGUAAGUAACUAUGCACGUCUUGACGGUACCUAAUCAGAAAGCCACGGCUAACUACGUG
rnacentral:rRNA from 1 species